rnacentral:rRNA from 1 species
AUUGAACGCUGGCGGCAGGCCUAACACAUGCAAGUCGGGCGGCAGCACAGGUACUUGUACCGGGUGGCGAGCGGCGGACGGGUGAGUAAUGCCUAGGAAUCUGCCUGGUAGUGGGGGAUAACGCUCGGAAACGGACGCUAAUACCGCAUACGUCCUACGGGAGAAAGCAGGGGACCUUCGGGCCUUGCGCUAUCAGAUGAGCCUAGGUCGGAUUAGCUAGUUGGUGAGGUAAAGGCUCACCAAGGCGACGAUCCGUAACUGGUCUGAGAGGAUGAUCAGUCACACUGGAACUGAGACACGGUCCAGACUCCUACGGGAGGCAGCAGUGGGGAAUAUUGGACAAUGGGCGAAAGCCUGAUCCAGCCAUGCCGCGUGUGUGAAGAAGGUCUUCGGAUUGUAAAGCACUUUAAGUUGGG